AGGACGCCGAAGGUGGGGCUAAUGACUGGGGUGAAGUCGUAACAAGGUAGCCGUACCGGAAGGUGCGGCUGGAUCACCUCCUAACAGGGAGACAACAAAAUGUAAAUAUUAAUUUUGUCACCUUAGGUCGAUCGGUAUCUCAGAUUCUUAAUUUCUUAAGAAUUUCAGUUUCUAAGUUUUUUCUAGGUCACACCCAUCACUUUUUCCUGGGCCAUUAGCUCAGGUGGUUAGAGCGCACCCCUGAUAAGGGUGAGGUCCCUGGUUCAAGUCCAGGAUGGCCCAUAUCUCUAUGUUGGGGGUAUAGCUCAGUUGGUAGAGCGCCUGCUUUGCAAGCAGGAUGUCAGCGGUUCGAGUCCGCUUACCUCCACUGAAUACCACCUCUUACAUAUAUUUAAAGAGGGAAACUGUUUUGAGUCGUGUCCUAAUUUGCUCUGAGCGAAUCUAGCUUCCUAUUUUAUUCAAUAAAUAAGAUGCUGGACUCAUUGAAUUUUUUUCAUUGUUUUCAGAGAACCUUGACAACUGCAUAGAUUAUUUUUGAAGACAAUAAGCAUCUUUAAUGAUGCAGAUUUAUUAUUUGUGCGAAUGCAUUAAAUAACAAUUCUAUUAAGCUGAUGCUUCAAUUAUUGAAGUUAUUGGUCAAGCUACAAAGGGCUCACGGAGGAUACCU
rnacentral:misc_RNA from 1 species